UACGUAGGGCGCAAGCGUUGUCCGGAAUUAUUGGGCGUAAAGAGCUCGUAGGCGGCCUGUUGCGUCCGCUGUGAAAUCCCGGGGCUUAACCCCGGGCCUGCAGUGGAUACGGGCAGGCUGGAGGCAGGCAGGGGAGAACGGAAUUCCCGGUGUAGCGGUGAAAUGCGCAGAUAUCAUUUGGAACGCCAAUGGUGAAAACAGCUCGCUGGGGGGUGCACUGACACUGAGACACGAAAGCCAGGGGAGCGAACGGG
rnacentral:rRNA from 1 species